AUUGAACGCUGGCGGCAGGCCUAACACAUGCAAGUCGAGCGGAUGAAGGGAGCUUGCUCCUGGAUUCAGCGGCGGACGGGUGAGUAAUGCCUUGGAAUCUGCCUGGUAGUGGGGGAUAACGUCCGGAAACGGGCGCUAAUACCGCAUACGUCCUGAGGGAGAAAGUGGGGGAUCUUCGGACCUCACGCUAUCAGAUGAGCCUAGGUCGGAUUAGCUAGUUGGUGGGGUAAAGGCCUACCAAGGCGACGAUCCGUAACUGGUCUGAGAGGAUGAUCAGUCACACUGGAACUGAGACACGGUCCAGACUCCUAUGGGAGGCAGCAGUGGGGAAUAUUGGACAAUGGGCGAAAGCCUGAUCCAGCCAUGCCGCGUGUGUGAAGAAGGUCUUCGGAUUGUAAAGCACUUUAAGUUGGGAGGAAGGGCAGUAAGUUAAUACCUUGCUGUUUUGACGUUACCAACAGAAUAAGCACCGGCUAACUUCGUG
rnacentral:rRNA from 1 species